rnacentral:rRNA from 1 species
AGCGAACAUUGGCGGUAGGCUUAACACAUGCAAGUCGAGCGAGGCGUAAUAGUCGAGCGGCGAACGGGUGCGUAAUACAUGGGAAUCUACCUCGAAGUGGGGGAUAACGUUCAGAAAUGGACGCUAAUACCGCAUAAUCCAUAUUGGGAAAGCGUUGCAGCGCUUUGAGAUGAGCCCAUGGCUGAUUAGCUAGUUGGUGAGGUAAUGGCUCACCAAGGCGACGAUCAGUAGCUGGUCUGAGAGGAUGACCAGCCACACUGGAACUGAGACACGGUCCAGACUCCUACGGGAGGCAGCAGUGGGGAAUCUUGCGCAAUGGGGGCAACCCUAACCCAGCCAUACCGCGUGAGUGAUGAAGGUCUUCGGAUUGUAAAGCUCUUUCGGCGGGGACGACGAUGACGGUACCCGCAAAAGAAGUCACGGCUAACUUCGUGCCAGCAGCCGCAGUAA